rnacentral:rRNA from 1 species
UACAGAGGAUGCGAGCGUUGUUCGGAAUUACUGGGCGUAAAGCGCGUGUAGGCGGAUAUAUAAGUCAGGUGUGAAAUCCCUUGGCUUAACUGAGGAAGUGCAUUUGAAACUGUAUAUCUUGAGUACGAUAGAGGAGAGUGGAAUUCCCAGUGUAGAGGUGAAAUUCAUAGAUAUUGGGAAGAACACCGGUGGCGAAGGCGGCUCUCUGGAUCGAUACUGACGCUGAUACGCGAAAGCGUGGGGAGCAAACAGG